rfam:Bacillus sp. B-jedd genome assembly, contig: CONTIG000001
AAAUUGCAUACAUUUGUACCGAAGACAGCAGGUGCUGAUCAAGCUUAAUAGCCUGCCGAGGGAAUACGAUAGAAUUAGCCGGAACCGGCUAUUGUAUUAUGCCUCCAUGUCUUUCUGAUAUGGAGGCUUUAAUUUGCCCGG